rfam:Vitis vinifera, whole genome shotgun sequence of line PN40024, unordered unoriented unplaced sequences
UCUCGGUGAUGAUAGUAAAAUGAUGACGAGUCCGAUCAUUCAUGCUUUCCAUAAAUCCUGACGACAAAACGAGGCAUUUGUCUGAGAGAA